rnacentral:lncRNA from 1 species
AAGCUCUAUUGGGUAGUAUAGUGCAGCUUUGUGAACACCAGAUCUGGCAGAUUUAAGCUGAGGCCUGUAAGUUCAUUUGCCAUUUUCUUCCACCACAAGUGGCCCCUGCUGGGCUGAUCUGUUCUUCCACUUGUUCCUCUGGCACCUGCCCAUGUGGAGGGGAUUCUUCAAUAGGGCACAUCUGUUGUAGCCUCACAGAUUCUUCUGCUGUUGGAGAGCCCUGUGUGUGGAAGAGUCCCUUUGUGUGAAAAUCAUCCAGCCUCAACCACACAGUUCAGCAAUUUUGCUGAAAGGAACAGUCUUGGCUGCACUUGGUAGGAGCCUCUCUUCUGUCUGGCACAGGGAGAGAAAGAUGGCAACAUCCUGCCAAG